rnacentral:tRNA from 1 species
UCCCCUGUAGCUCAGUGGUAGAGCGUCCGACCGGUGUGCAGAAGGUCGUUAGGUUUGACUCCUGUUUGGUGAA